CAGGUCUAAUAGGGUUCGAACCUAUACCACGUCUGUCAAAGAGACGGGUGCUUCCAUUACACCAUAGACCU
rnacentral:tRNA from 1 species